rnacentral:lncRNA from 1 species
AUUUCAUCAUCAUUCCACUUUUAUACAAAUUUUAAAUAAAUGUUUAUUAAACAUUUUUAAGAUUUUGAACUGUUAUGUGUGAAACACAGUUGUGUAGUGUCUCUGAUGCUGUUGGUAAGGUUUAUGUAUUUCUUCACAUUAAAGAAAUUAUUUGAUACUAUUCCAAUUCUACUUGCUAUUACUUCAAAAUAUAGCAAAACAGCCCAGUUGGCAAGUGCUGGACGUCGGACCUUUGUUUUGUGUAGCGUUUUCGGACCGAGGACGGUCCCUCAUCAGUGCACAGGUUCACCAAGUUUCAGACACAUUAACUAAACGAUUAUCAGC